rnacentral:rRNA from 1 species
UUGGAGGGCAAGUCUGGUGCCAGCAGCGAGGUAAUUCCAGCUCCAAUAGCGUAUAUUAAAGUUGUUGCAGUUAAAAAGCUCGUAGUUGAAUUUCGGGAUCAAUAUGUCGGUCGUACUUUUGGUACGUACUGGCAUCAUUGGUUUCUCCCUUCUGACAAACCAUGAUGUCAUUAAUUUGGUGUCAUGGGGAAUCAGGACUGUUACUUUGAAAAAAUUAGAGUGUUUAAAGCAGGCACACGCUUGAAUACAUUAGCAUGGAAUAAUGAAAUAGGACGUUUGACCCUAUUUUGUUGGUUUCUAGGAUCGACGUAAUGAUUAAUAGGGAUAGUUGGGGGCAUUAGUAUUCAAUUGUCAGAGGUGAAAUUCCUGGAUUUAUUGAAGACUUUUUUCUGCGAAAGCAUUUGCCAAGGAUGUUUUCAUUAAUCAAGAACGAAAGUUAGGGGAUCGAAGACGAUCAGAUACCGUCGUAGUCUUAACCAUAAACUAUGCCGACUAGGGAUCGGAUGAUGUUAAUUUUUUAAUGACUCAUUCGGCGCCUUACGGGAAAC